rnacentral:rRNA from 1 species
GAGUUUGAUCCUGGCUCAGAGCGAACGCUGGCGGCAGGCCUAAUACAUGCAAGUCGAACGGAUCCUUCGGGAUUAGUGGCGGACGGGUGAGUAACACGUGGGAACGUGCCCUUUGGUUCGGAACAACUCAGGGAAACUUGAGCUAAUACCGGAUAAGCCCUUCGGGGGAAAGAUUUAUCGCCAUUGGAGCGGCCCGCGUUUGAUUAGCUAGUUGGUGGGGUAACGGCCCACCAAGGCUACGAUCAGUAGCUGGUCUGAGAGGAUGAUCAGCCACACUGGGACUGAGACACGGCCCAGACUCCUACGGGAGGCAGCAGUAGGGAAUCUUGCGCAAUGGGCGAAAGCCUGACGCAGCCAUGCCGCGUGAAUGAUGAAGGUCUUAGGAUUGUAAAAUUCUUUCAGCGGGGAAGAUAAUGACGGUACCCGCAGAAGAAGCCCCGGCUAACUUCGUACCAGCAGCCGCGGUAAUACG